rnacentral:rRNA from 1 species
AUUGAACGCUGGCGGCAGGCUUAACACAUGCAAGUCGAGCGAGCGGCGGACGGGUGAGUAAUGUCUGGGAAACUGCCUGAUGGAGGGGGAUAACUACUGGAAACGGUAGCUAAUACCGCAUACCAUCAGAUGUGCCCAGAUGGGAUUAGCUAGUAGGUGGGGUAAUGGCUCACCUAGGCGACGAUCCCUAGCUGGUCUGUGAGGAUGACAAGCAACACGGGAACUGAUGCACGGUACGGACUCCUACGUGAGGCAGCAUUGGGGAAUAAUGCACAAUGGGCGCAAGCCUGAUGCAGCCAAGCCGAGUGUGUGAAGAAGUCCUUCGGGUUGUAAAGCACUUUCAGCGAGGAGGCGUUACUCGAAGAAGAAGCACCGGCUAACUCCGUGCCAGCAGCCGAGGUAAUAC